UACGUAGGGGCCUAGCGUUGUCCGGAUUUAUUGGGCGUAAAGAGCUCGUAGGCGGUUUGGUGAGUCGGGUGUGAAAUCUCCACGCUCAACGUGGAGGGGCCACCCGAUACUGCCAUGACUAGAGUCCGGUAGGGGAGUGUGGAAUUCCCGGUGUAGCGGUGAAAUGCGCAGAGAUCAGGAGGAACACCUAUGGCGAAGGCAGCUCGCUGGGACGUGACUGACGCUGAGACGCGAAAGCGUGGGGAGCAAACAGG
rnacentral:rRNA from 1 species